rnacentral:piRNA from 1 species
CAAGGUUGAGGAUAAGGGAUUAGAUUGA